rnacentral:rRNA from 1 species
GACGAACUGUGCGAACGUUGUUCGGAAUCAUUGGGCGUAAAGCGCGUGUAGGCGGCCCGGUAAGUCCGCUGUGAAAGUCGGGGGCUCAACCCUCGAAUGCCGGUGGAUACUGUCGGGCUAGAGUGCGGGAGAGGCGAGUGGAAUUCCUGGUGUAGCGGUGAAAUGCGCAGAUAUCAGGAGGAACACCAAUUGCGAAGGCAGCUCGCUGGGACGUUACUGACGCUGAGACGCGAAAGCGUGGGGAGCAAACAGG